CUCGGGACGUCCGGCGCGGAGGCACGUCUUUUGCUGGGCAGUGCACCAGCCACACGGGACGGGCUUUCACGGAGGCUGUAACAAACACAAGGUCCCUUCAGGUGUCUGCACAGGAACUGAAGUAAUCAGCCAGGUGUGGCAGAAACUCAGGCACAUCCUGGGACUGCAUUAGUGACUGCGGCUCAGUCUUUAACUUGCAAAGCACAUUCAGUGCCACCCACAUGGAGCUAGCCUCUGCGAACAAUGAGAGCACCGUUGCAACAGUGAAUUGCCUUGGUGGAAGAUUUGUUUGUGAACACACGGUGGUACACAAGGCAUUAGCUGAGUUCUAAAGGACUUUUCCCAGAAAAAGUUCACAGAUCUGAUUGAAAGGAGCCAAAAAGACGAAACAGAAAAGUAUAAACUGAAGAAAUGCAUAAAUGUAAAAAGUGCAGGCAUCUAUUAAGAAGGAAAGAAAGAAUUCAUCAUAAUCCUAUUAUCAAGAAGCAUCACUACGCGUACAUUUUGGGAAAAUCUCCCUCUGAGUUCAUGUGAACCACCACAUCAGGACAUCCAGUAGUCUGCUGCCCUUUUCCAUCACCCAGUGAAUGGAGCGUUUUGUACCUGCAAAAGUACGUGUUUGCAAAUAAUCUGUACCUGGGA